GCGCUGUUAGCUCAGACGGAUAGAGUGACUGACUACGAAUCAGUAGGUCGGAGGUUCGAAUCCUCUACAGCGCGCCA
rnacentral:tRNA from 1 species